GACGAACGCUGGCGGCGUGCUUAACACAUGCAAGUCGAACGGAAAGGCCCUGCUUUUGUGGGGUGCUCGAGUGGCGAACGGGUGAGUAACACGUGAGUAACCUGCCCUUGACUUUGGGAUAACUUCAGGAAACUGGGGCUAAUACCGGAUAGGAGCUCCUGCUGCAUGGUGGGGGUUGGAGAGUUUCGGCGGUUGGGGAUGGACUCGCGGCUUAUCAGCUUGGUGGUGGGGUAGUGGCUUACCAAGGCUUUGACGGGUAGCCGGCCUGAGAGGGUGACCGGCCACAUUGGGACUGAGAUACGGCCCAGACUCCUACGGGAGGCAGCAGUGGGGAAUAUUGCACAAUGGGCGGAAGCCUGAUGCAGCAACGCCGCGUGCGGGAUGACGGCCUUCGGGUUGUAAACCGCUUUCGCCUGUGACGAAGCGUGAGUGACGGUAAUGGGUAAAGAAGCACCGGCUAACUACGUG
rnacentral:rRNA from 1 species